rnacentral:rRNA from 1 species
CAGUAGCCACGGGAAGACAGAGGAUGCAAGCGUUAUCCGGAAUGAUUGGGCGUAAAGCGUCUGUAGGUAGCUUUUCAAGUCCGCCGUCAAGUCCCAGGGCUCAACCCUGGACAGGCGGUGGAAACUACCAAGCUGGAGUACGGUAGGGGCAGAGGGAAUUUCCGGUGGAGCGGUGAAAUGCAUUGAGAUCAGAAAGAACACCAACGGCGAAAGCACUCUGCUGGGCCGACACUGACACUGAGAGACGAAAGCUAGGGGAGCAAAUGGGAUUAGAUACCCGGGUAGUCCCUGUCUCUUAUAC